AACAAAACAAAGCAAGAAGGUUAAAAAUGAUACAGGGUUUCAGAACAAAAUGAUAGGAGUUAACAGUGGUUGUUGUAUCCCACGUUGUUUAGCACCUCGUUCUUAACAGUUAACUGGCAGAUUAAGCUGUGGAGGAUUGUUGUGAAUUCAUUUGAGGCAACUCUGGCUACAAAGUUCAGAGCCAACCUGAACUACACAGCGAGGCCCUGUCUCCCCCCA